AGCCGAACGGUAGAGGGGGCAACCCCUCGAGAGUGGCGAACGGGUGAGUAAUAUNUCNGAACGUGCCCAGUCGUGGGGGAUAACGUAGCGAAAGUUACGCUAAUACCGCAUACGAUCUACGGAUGAAAGCGGGGGAUCGCAAGACCUCGCGCGAUUGGAGCGGCCGAUAUCAGAUUAGGUAGUUGGUGGGGUAAAGGCUCACCAAGCCAACGAUCUGUAGCUGGUCUGAGAGGACGACCAGCCACACUGGAACUGAGACACGGUCCAGACUCCUACGGGAGGCAGCAGUGGGGAAUUUUGGACAAUGGACGCAAGUCUGAUCCAGCCAUUCCGCGUGCAGGAUGAAGGCCCUCGGGUUGUAAACUGCUUUUGUACGGAACGAAAAGGUUUCUAUUAAUACUAGGAGCUCAUGACGGUACCGUAAGAAUAAGCACCGGCUAACUACGUGCCAGCAGCCGCGGUAAUACGUAGGGUGCAAGCGUUAAUCGGAAUUACUGGGCGUAAAGCGUGCGCAGGCGGUUAUGUAAGACAGAGGUGAAAUCCCCGGGCUCAACCUGGGAACUGCCUUUGUGACUGCAUAGCUAGAGUACGGUAGAGGGGGAUGGAAUUCCGCGUGUAGCAGUGAAAUGCGUAGAUAUGCGGAGGAACACCGAUGGCGAAGGCAAUCCCCUGGACCUGUACUGACGCUCAUGCACGAAAGCGUGGGGAGCAAACAGGAUUAGAUACCCUGGUAGUCCACGCCCUAAACGAUGUCAACUGGUUGUUGGGUCUUCACUGACUCAGUAACGAAGCUAACGCGUGAAGUUGANCGCCUGGGGAGUACGGCCGCNAGGUUGAAACUCAAANGAAUUGACGGGGANCCGCACAAGCGGUGGNAUGAUGUGGUUNAAUUCGAUGCAACGCGAAAAACCUUACCCANCUUUGACAUGUACGGAAGCCUUUAGAGA
rnacentral:rRNA from 1 species